UACAGAGGUCCCAAGCGUUGUUCGGAUUCAUUGGGCGUAAAGGGUGCGUAGGUGGCGUCGUAAGUCGGGUGUGAAAUCUCGGGGCUUAACUCCGAAACUGCAUUCGAUACUGCGGUGCUUGAGGACUGGAGAGGAGACUGGAAUUUACGGUGUAGCAGUGAAAUGCGUAGAGAUCGUAAGGAAGACCAGUGGCGAAGGCGGGUCUCUGGACAGUUCCUGACACUGAGGCACGAAGUCCAGGGGAGCAAACGGG
rnacentral:rRNA from 1 species